CCUACGGGCGGCAGCAGUGAGGAAUAUUGGUCAAUGGUCGUAAGCCUGAACCAGCCAAGUCGCGUGAGGGAUGAAGGUUCUAUGGAUCGUAAACCUCUUUUGUAAGGGAAUAAAGUGUGGGACGUGUCCUGGUUUGUAUGUACCUUAUGAAUAAGGAUCGGCUAACUCCGUGCCAGCAGCCGCGGUAAUACGGAGGAUCCGAGCGUUAUCCGGAUUUAUUGGGUUUAAAGGGUGCGGAGGCGGCCUUUUAAGUCAGCGGUGAAAGGCCGGGGCUCAACCAUAGAAUUGCCGUUGAAACUGGGAGGCUUGAGUAGGUUUGAGGUAGGCGGAAUGCGUGGUGUAGCGGUGAAAUGCUUAGAUAUCACGCAGAACCCCGAUUGCGAAGGCAGCAUGCCAAGCCAUGACUGACGCUGAUGCACGAAAGCGUGGGGAUCAAACAGGAUUAGAUACCCGUGUAGUC
rnacentral:rRNA from 1 species